UACGAAGGGGGGCUAGCGUUGCUCGGAAUCACUGGGCGUAAAGCGCACGUAGGCGGCUUGUUAAGUCAGGGGUGAAAUCCUGGAGCUCAACUCCAGAACUGCCUUUGAUACUGAAGAUCUUGAGUUCGGGAGAGGUGAGUGGAACUGCGAGUGUAGAGGUGAAAUUCGUAGAUAUUCGCAAGAACACCAGUGGCGAAGGCGGCUCACUGGCCCGAUACUGACGCUGAGGCACGAAAGCGUGGGGAGCAAACAGGG
rnacentral:rRNA from 1 species